rfam:Papio anubis isolate 1X1155 chromosome 7, whole genome shotgun sequence.
UUUUUAGUGUAAGUAUGUCCCAUGCCGUAUUUGGGUCAUACUUAUACUAAAA